rnacentral:rRNA from 1 species
GACGAACGCUGGCGGCGUGCCUAACACAUGCAAGUCGAACGGAACUGUUUUGAAAGAUUUCUUCGGAAUGAAUUUGAUUUAGUUUAGUGGCGGACGGGUGAGUAACGCGUGAGUAACCUGCCUUCAAGAGGGGGAUAACAUUCUGAAAAGAAUGCUAAUACCGCAUGACAUAUCGGAAUCACAUGGUUUUGAUAUCAAAGAUUUUAUCGCUUGAAGAUGGACUCGCGUCCGAUUAGUUAGUUGGUGAGGUAACGGCUCACCAAGACCGCGAUCGGUAGCCGGACUGAGAGGUUGAACGGCCACAUUGGGACUGAGACACGGCCCAGACUCCUACGGGAGGCAGCAGUGGGGGAUAUUGCGCAAUGGGGGCAACCCUGACGCAGCAACGCCGCGUGAAGGAUGAAGGUUUUCGGAUUGUAAACUUCUUUUAUUAAGGACGAAACUUGACGGUACUUAAUGAAUAAGCUCCGG